rnacentral:lncRNA from 1 species
UAACCCCCUUCUUACCCCACUGUCAGCUGCUCCAGCCAGACCGGGGCAGAGAAGAGAGGAGCAGACCGUCCCUGGCGGCCCACCUGACCUCCCAGCCUUUACCCCCAUUUCCUUCUACCAGACAGACAGACGGACUGGUUUCCCAGGUUGUCUGGGUGUCAGCGUCUGUCUGUCCAUCUGUGUGGUUCUCAGGUGGAAGGUAGGGCGUGAGAAGUGCUGGGAGGGAGGCGAGGGGGGCGGCUUUCCAGGGGUUGCCUUGCUGAAAUGUUCGGCCCUGGGGAUCUGGGUCUGGUGGGGAGCCCGUGGGCAGGAUGGGGCGUGGGCCGGGAGAAGCGGGGGCACGCGGGUAGGUUUGUCACUGCGUAGUUGGGGAAAGUGGGGACUGGUGACGCAGUCACUGUGGGAUCUUGUUAGGCGCUCUGGGGGGACAGGUAGUGGGGCUGCCGGGACCUAUAGGGCCAGCUGAGAGGGGUUAAGGAUGAGCUGAGAAGGGAAGCUAGCAUUUAGAGAUUAAAUGUCAUCCUUUUGGCGUUGGAAAGUUGUUUACCUUGCGCUCUCUGUGUCUCCAUGUUGGCACCCUUCCAGUUCACAUGUGAUGGCCUUCCUUGUACUGCUGCAUCAUUAACUAAGUGACUGAGCUGGCCUUCCAUUGGCCAGGGGAGGGCUCUCACGCCAGACACUUCCUCUGAUUGGUGGGCGGGCCAGUGGCAGGUGAAAACCUCUUUUUGAUUGGCUGAAGGCAGGGUAUCAAAUCUGAAUUUGCAUUUCACUUGCUUAAAGGGGAGGGGGAGAAGCCCAGCAGCCUUCUAAAAUCUGUUUAGGGGUGUGCGUAUGCUCCUGCGCGUAUGCUUUCUUCUGACUGACCAGUCGAAGCCUCUUCCUGUGCCUUUUUAAUUAUUUCAUGCGCUAUGAGGAAGAGGAGCCGAGAGCUCCCCAAACUUUUUUUUUUUUUUUUUUGGUUGGGGCGAAGGUUGAGGAGAUGGGAGCGCAGGGGGAUGACCAAACUGGAAGGAAAUAUUCGUUCUUUAGUUUGGUGUCAGAAAAGGGAAUUUUCCAAUCAGCCACACCUCAGUGUUGCGGCAAAAUAAUUCUUGGCUCCCCUGGAAACGCAUGGGCAAGGUAGGGCAGAGCUGCUGCUGCCACCACCCUCGGCUUCCUGCUGACUCUGGGCCACUCCCCGGGGACAAGA